GAAAGACGAACGAGGUCAGUGGCGGUAAUGCACCUAAUUUAUGAAAGUUGCCAAUCGCACUAUAAAGUCAAGAGAAGAAAAAGCCUAGAAGGAGGAGAGAUGACUAGAAACGAUUCGAUUGAUCGUUUUAUGUGUUAAUUAAUUGUCGGAGUAGAGGACUUUGUGCAUUUCAGAUGAACAUGGCGUUUGGAAAUUGCUACCAAGGAUGAACCAGACAAGUGGAGGUCUACAAUUUUUUUUCUGAGAUCUUGGCUGAUUUCUUUUGAUUUUCCCAUGAUGUCAAGCAAAGAGGCACUGAGUUUGAAGACUGGAUGCUGUUCCUUGACUGAAUGGCCAAUGUCUUCCAGGGACCCCUCCCCGAAGAAGUCUCCCACUCCCCUGGGCAAUGGAGCAGUACCCUUGCUUCUGGUGGAUUGAGGAUUCUAUUGUCACCAUUCCUGCUGCCCAACCAAGGGAAGCAUGUCACCCGCCAUAGGCCAAAUGGAGGAAAGAGGCCUAUGGUGAAUGGGGCUUCUUUGGCAUUGGGAAGCCCGACCCAAAUUCAGUUG
rnacentral:lncRNA from 1 species